rnacentral:rRNA from 1 species
UGCCAGCCGCCGCGGUAAUACGGAGGGUGCAAGCGUUAAUCGGAAUUACUGGGCGUAAAGCGCGCGUAGGCGGCUAAAUCAGUCGGGUGUGAAAGCCCUGGGCUCAACCUGGGAACUGCAUUCGAUACUGUUUGGCUUGAGUAUGGGAGAGGGUAGUGGAAUUCCACGUGUAGCGGUGAAAUGCGUAGAUAUAGGAAGGAACACCAGUGGCGAAGGCGACACCCUGGACCAAUACUGACACUGAGGUGCGAAAGCGUGGGGAGCAAACAGGAUUAGAUA